UGGCCCACUUCUGUCUUGUAGCCUGGAUGUGGGCCCAGCUUCAACCUCUUAGGAUCCUCUCCAUGAAAUACGGACAGCAGCACAUGCCCAGCCAUCGGGCUUUGCUGCGGACCCAGCAGGGUAACCUUUCCGGUCAGCUGGGUCCAGCUAUAAAUAAGUUGCGGAAGCAGGAGGGCGCAUCCCGAGACCCACAGGAGAUGCCAGCAUUCUUCAAGUGUUAAAGGACACACGUUGCUUCUCCAAGAGGGAAAGACAGCGUUCCCUGAUGUGUGGAACUGGGCACAAGAGCUGCAGAAAGGACCACUAAGAAGCCUGCGCUUUGGGGGCAUCUGUGCUGAGAGUGCUCCCAAUGGGCAGAGACCAUCUGGACAGAGCCAGAGGCCACGGAAGGGACGCCCCUCCAUGAGGGACACAUUCACUCCAGCCACUUCAGAGAAACCCAAGGAGCCCGGUGUCACUGAAAAGAACAUUAAAAUCCAAUG